GUCCCUGUAGCGCAAUAGAUAGCGCGUUGGACUUCAAAUUCAAAGGUCGAGUGUUUGAAUCCUCCCUGGGAUG